rnacentral:rRNA from 1 species
GAUGAACGCUGGCGGCGUGCUUAACACAUGCAAGUCGAACGAACCUUCGGGUUAGUGGCGGACGGGUGAGUAACGCGUGGGAAUCUGCCCUCAGGAGGGGGAUAACGGCCGGAAACGGCCGCUAAUACCUCAUAUGCCGAGAGGUGAAAUGAAUUUCGCCUGAGGAUGAGCCCGCGUCUGAUUAGCUAGUUGGUGAGGUAAGAGCUCACCAAGGCAUCGAUCAGUAGCUGGUCUGAGAGGAUGAUCAGCCACACUGGGACUGAGACACGGCCCAGACUCCUACGGGAGGCAGCAGUGGGGAAUUUUCCGCAAUGGGCGAAAGCCUGACGGAGCAACGCCGCGUGAGGGAUGAAGGCCUCUGGGCUGUAAACCUCUUUUAUCAAGGAAGAAGAUCUGACGGUACUUGAUGAAUAAGCCACGGCUAAUUCCGUGCC